ensembl:lncRNA SMC5-DT SMC5 divergent transcript
GGAGACGUUCGGGGACGUGGCAACUGGAGUUUCUUCUCCGUAUAUUUCGGCAUUCAGUUCCUUUUUUUUUUUGUUUUAACUCAGGAAAAAAUCUCAAUUGCGUUUAGUAUUUUGAAAGCCACUUUAUUGCUUCCCGAGCCUCAGUCAUGUGUGGUGGGAGGCUGCUGUGGGUGGCACCUGGGGCGUCCACGGCCGCCAAGGCGGGAGGACGUCAGGCCCUGCUUGCUCCCACCCCUUCCAGGUGAGAGCUCCCGGGCACGCCCGUCGUUGGCUCUUCGUCCUCUUGGUGUUCUUCCCUGUUGCUUCAAAUCAGGUUCCUGUCUCAAAAAUCCGAAAAAGAAAUCCUCCCAAAUGACUCUGUGCCCGACGCUCCGUUAAGGCAUCGUGCUAGGCGUUCUCAAACUCGUGAAAUGACUACACUGCACAGGUUAACCUCAUUGCUACUCUUCCCCUUGCCUCCUAAUUCUCUGGUUAAACUUCCGCCCCCGAGGUUUCUAGAAAUCCCUGAGCUGGAAUGCGCUGCCUUCAUUAAGAGGGUGUUCUGCUUCCGUCUGCUCACAUUCAUCUAGUAAGCCCUCUCGUUAAAGAGGAGGCAGCACACCGAGGCCUGUCUAGAACUUCUUUCAUUUAACCAACAGUGAAUAUCUAAUCUACAAGAAACUGGAGCCGUGGCAGUUUAGGAGCCUGCCAAGGUUGCAUCCCUGGGAGCUUAUUUUCUAUUGUGGGAGACAGGAAAAGAACAAGUGAAUCAACUGUGAAAUUAAAUAAUUCAAACUUAAAGCUGUUGGAACUUUAAAUUAUUCUGAGCCUUGCGAAGAAUGUGGCGAUGGGGCCUGAGUCCCAUGGCAUACAGCUGCAAUGUCUGCCUUGUUUUUUCCUAUAAUCAGGAAGACCAAACAGAGACAGAGUUCUGGUUAAAUCACACAAGUCCCUGGCAUGAGACCAAGAAGUCACAGAGCCCAGGUCUUAGCCCUCAGAGUGUGAGAGAAGACAUGAAGGCAUCAGGGACACUGUGCGAGUGGGCACUGCUGCUUUCCACUGCUCUCCCUAGACUGCAGCCAGGAGGCUGCCUCUGCCCUGCCAGGUCAGAUUCCCCCAAGAGGCCCUCCCAUAGCACCCUGGGCAUAUGGCCGUUUUGUACUUAGCACUCCGAACUGUGUUGACUGGUUUCUCUCUCUCUCCCUCACUAAUCUGUGAGCAUUUUUGUAACCUCCAUGCUCCGUACAAUGCCUGGAGCAUAGAUUUCUCAAGAAAUCUUUGUUGAACCUUUUCUUCCUCCAUAUUAAACCAGACCUUGCAUCACAGGCA